CCUGGAUAGAGGGGACUAUUGCUCCUUUCCCACCCUUCCAAUCCCAAUCCCCAUGCCCAAACCAUCAAUCACAGGAAAAUUUAGAAACCAUUCCUUUCUUUAUUAAACAUAGCUUGCAAGUGAUAAAUAUUACAAAGUUUUUUUUUUUCUUUUAAUCCUUUCUCCAAAAAUUAGCUUAUUAUUUGAAUCUGUCACUGCAGAAGCGCUUGGCAGUAUCUGAAACAGAUGGGGGUGUAUUUGUCCUUUUGAAAACCAGUUUCUAUUGGUCUUAGUCUUUUUAUUUCUUUCCCAAACACAAUGCAGAAAAUAAAAAUGAAGAGGCAAAAUAAGGAAACUUAGAGUUGUGCAAAAGGGUCUUGCUCCCCCCCCUCCUGCCUGCCCCCACGAAAGGGCAUCUCCUAAUCCCUCAACUCCUCCCCCACCAAAUAUCCCACCCACUGCCUCCAGACAUCAUCUAGUCAAGAAUUUGAAGGAAGCCGAUGGUGGGCUGUCUGCAAUGUUAGGGGUGGGAUAAGGAACCUUGGUCAUCUAAGGGGUGAAGUAGGAAGAAAAGAUGUGCCUAAUUCUCCUCUAACAAGGAGUCAGCAUCCAAGGUCCUGUGGUCUCCAAAGGCAGUGGGACUGUAGAGGAUAUGAGACACUUCUACAGCCAGUCUGACUAGAAACUAAGGGCAUUUGCACCUGUGUCCAAGGCUAGCCCAACAGCCUUGGUGGGAGGGAAGACCAUGGAUUGUUGUCUCACUGGGCACUCAAGACCCACAUCGAAGAGAUCAUUGCCAUUCUAGCCAUAGACUUAAUUCUGCUGCCAGUCUAAAGAGAUGCCAACUUGAAGGGACCACUGGAUGCCGCCAGAUUCUUCCUCCCUGACUUAUUCUAACUCGUUCCUCCCUCCCCUUUUGUGGAUGGUAGUUGGGGAGUGGCCAGAUAUAUUUUAAGAAUAUAUGUAAUUCAAACUUGUCUUAAUUUUGUCCUGUUACCCAGCAGAAAUCACGAGUAGAAUUCAUCUCUUGACUGUCUCUCACCACCCUAUCCUUCCUCCAUACAAAGGGCUCUCCACUCUGCCUCGCCCAUCCCCAAACCCAGCAAGAGUCAUGAGCUUCCCAAUUUGGUUGAGGCUUCAUCUCAAUUUAUACUUAUCACAGAUGUUAGUGCUCAACUGAAUGUGGUACACUACAUUAUAUGAAACUUUCUUGGGAUGACAAUCACAAAGAGUUUCUUCCUACUUAACCCACAUUUCCUCCCCUACCAACCUUCUAAGACAAUUAGCCCAAGCUCUUUCCUCUGGAUAAUAUUUUUAGGGUAUGGGGUGUGGGAGAGAUCUCUGGUGUAAGAAAAUCUGACACUGUGGUUUGUUAUAUAGUAGGUAUAUUGUAUAUAGGCUGAUGCAAUCAGAGGAAAAAAAAACAGUGCAAAUACAAUUACAGUUCAUAAUACUUGGUUUCAAUGCCCCCUGGGAACUGUUCCGUUCCUCAGCUACCUCCCAGUCCCCCAGCAUCCCCCACUUCCCCCAGAGUGUCAACCUAAUGCUGGGAAAGGAGGUGGGGCAGCUGGGGUGGGGGGAGGGCUCUGCCAAGGCAGUGCUGGUGACCUGGAGGGGCAGCUCCAGGGUGGGGAGGCAAGGCACAGUUGGGGGGGAGGGGGGGCAUCUCCAAAGCGGGGUGGGGAUUCAGGGAAGCCAGCUGCCAAACUGGCCUAUCCCCUUGCCCCAUCAUCCACAGCCCUGCCUCCUAACCCCCAGAAACCCUUUUGCACGGAUCAUACACAAACGGGCACAGUACAAAAUGACGUAACACAGUUUCACAAUAUCCAUGGCUAGGGCUUUUUUUUCCACUUUUUUCAUGUUUUUUUUUUUUUUUUUUCUACACAAUGUACAAUUCUUCCUUUUUAAAUGGAUCAAGAAAUAGCUUAUAUACACGAAUGAGUCCUUGUUAUAACAUCUCGGCAGCAAAUAUCAUAAGCUAAUGAAGAUCUCAUUGGGAGAGGGAACCUGGGCUUGGGGGAGAGGGUAGGAAUGGGGAAGGGAGAAGGGUUAUGCUUUUAGGAUUGGGGAGGAUGGGAAAGAGGGAUCAAAAGUAAAAUAUCAAGAAGCAUCUUUACAAAGCAUUUCUAUAGCUAAUUUCUUUAAAAAGGGAAAGGAAAGGAAACCAAAGCAGGAAAACACUUUAUCUGCAUCUUAAAAAAAAAAGAAGAAGAAGAAAAAUAGCAGGAAGAAAAAGAAAAGAAAAAAGAGAAAGGAAAAGAGAAUAAAAGAGCAAAGCAGGGGAGAGAGAAAAAAGAACAGAGAAAUUUCUACCAUACAUUACAUCCAAAAUGUGGAAAAAAAUAUUUAUUCCAGGGACAGGUAGGGGACUGGAUGCUAUGGUCAAUGACAAAAUAAAAAUGGGACCUCAGUUCUCAUUUUUUACUUUCCACUGGAGGCCUUUUGCCCUAAAUCCAUCCCCUUGCUUCUAGGGAGCAGGUACUGCCUAUAGCCUGCUGGUCCCAGUUUUCCUCAAGCACCUCUGGAGAUUAGUGUGGGGAGAAGCCAUGUAGUACUGGUGGACCCCUCAUUCUACCUCCACCUUGAGCACCAGAAGGAAGACUCCCAGAAUAAUGGUUAUUUUCUACCUUCCUUAAGAUAAAGGAUGUCCUACCUAAAGGACCUCAGUUCAGUGUCCACACAGACCAGGGCCAUUAGGGACCUUAGAUACUUGGGAGUUAGAAGAUGAGUUAUGAGCAGAUAUAAGGGAUAUUGGAAGGGGAAAGUAGAGACAAAAGGAAUCAGUGAUGAAAGGGAGAAUUUGGGGAGAGAAAGGGGAAAAGAGAGAUGGAGGACUAACACUUUACCAUGAUUCAGAAGACCAUAUUGGCCAAUCCACCCAACACUAACCUCUGAAAGAAUGGGGAUAGGGAGGGAAGUAGGGACCAGUGGAACAAGAACAAAACCUCAGCUAACAAGCAAAGGAUCACAGAUCUCUAUCAACAAGCAGCAUCUGUAGCUUGAUCUUGAAGAAGAAAGAAGAGGAAAGUAGGGAAGACAUGCUGCAUUUCUCCCUCCACCACAUCACAUAAUUUCCCUCUCCCUGGAAAUAGGUACUAGAACUACAGGUUUGCCUUCAUGCAAAAAUCACCUUAUACACCCAUUUCCAAGGCCAAUACAGUGGUAGCUGGUUCCUAGGGUAGGGAUUUAAACUCAAGGCUGGGACUACCACCAGCCACAUGGUAUUGCACAUUCCUUUUUUCCUUACUUUUAAUCUCAAAUGACACACCUGGGCACCUUGUACCUUUGGGCAGGGGAAGCUGGAUACAUGACAGAAAUGGCACUUUAUCAUGUGUUUGUGUCGGGAUAGAAGGUGGAGAGGGGAAGGAGAGGCUAGAGAGACAUGCCACAUG
ensembl:lncRNA